rnacentral:rRNA from 1 species
GACGAACGCUGGCGGCGUGCUUAACACAUGCAAGUCGAACGGAAAGGCCGUGCUUUUGUGGGGUGCUGGAGUGGCGAACGCGUGAGUGACACGUGUGUAACCUGCCCUUGACUUAGGGAUAUCUUCAGGGAAAUCGGGCUAUUACCCGAUAGGAGACCCAGCUGCGUGGUGGGUUUUGGAAAGUUUCGGCGGUUGGGGAUGGACUCGCGGCUGAUCAGCUUGUUGGUGGGGUAGUGGCUGACCAAGGCGCUGACGGGUGGCCGGCCUGGGAGGGUGACCGGCCACAGUGGGACUGAGAUAGGGCCCGUACGGAUACGGGAGGCAGCAGCGGAGACUUUUGCACGAUGGGCGGAGUCCGGAUGGAGCGACGCCGCGUGCGGGAUGACGGUUGUGGGGGAGUAAGGCGCUUUGUCCGGUGACGGCGCGUGAGUGACGGUAAUUGGUAAGGAAGCACCGGCUAACUACGUG